AAUGUGAAAGUCAGAUUGGAAUGAGGGAGGGAGGCAGAGGGCUCCCGGUCCGGUGGGAAGCCUGUUGUAGUAGUUGAGGGGAGAGGAGACAUGAAGGCAGAGAAAAGGGCUUUCGUGGACGGAUGGAUUGGCGUUGGUGUGAGAAAGGGGAGAAAUUCUUGUUUUUGACCUGAGUAAUUGAUAAAUGGUGUUUCAGGGGUUGGUUGCACUGUCUAGGAGGUGCUUCUGGGACGUUCAGUGAAGAUAUCCAGGACAUGGCUGUAAGGAAGUGAAGCCCCAGAGAGCCUUCAUGGCCUGGGGUGCUGUCUUGGGCCUCCUGAUGGUGGACAUGGAAACCAAAGAUAGGGAGAGUGUGAUGUAAAAGAUUUUGGUGUAUGUCCUUGGUGCUGAAUCUGUAUCUAGUCUUACUCAAAGAGACUCUGAUAGAAGAGGCCCCAGGAAGGCAUUCCAAAACAGUAACACACAGUGUAGAUACGUCCAAAUAGCACUGAUGGCUUUUAUUGCAGGUUUGUGUCAUUACAAGGAUAAUCUGGGAAUAUAUUAAAAAAAACCCUCCCUUUUAUAUACACAAAACAUGCUACAUGGUACACUUUGUGGGAAUGCUGAGGUAAUAGGCACACACCCAGACAUGGACAGUACCAAACGUUCCAACAUCUCACACACCCCCAUUCACACGCCCACCGGGGACGGUCUCACCUUCCUGACUCCUCUCUUGCUCCCUGCUUGGCAAGAGUCCCGGUAGUACUGAGUCUGACACUUCGCGGCCAACAGGACUCAGAAAGCCACCACGCUGCAAUGCACCAGCCAAGGGGUCCGGUGGCUCCUGGUUAUUCAGGAGCUCACGAGAAGCGGCCAGUUGUCAUUUUUGUGGCACCUGUACUCCAGAGAAGUGUAGUUUGGGGACGAGAUGCGGACUCUAGUCAGCCUGAGAGCACGGGACCUUUGGUCUGUAGCCAUUCGGGGGCCCCAAUGAUCGGGGGAUGACUUCUCUUCACUUGAGUAUCUCCUGGGCAAGGUAGGUUAUUAUUUCUGUGACGGUUAAAAUGACAUGUAGGCUAAAGUGUGAACGGAACAUACAAAACUGCGAGUACAUCAUCUACGUGGCCGGGAGUUAGCUUUGGGGCCUGGCCUUCCCUUUCCUGACCAGAAACCUGGAGCCCAAACUGUCUCCUACUCAGAGGUUUGCCUGGAAAGAAAGGAUGAUAUGACAGAAAAGGUAAGGAGUGGGUGUGAAGGGUAGAGAAGAGCAGAGAAGGUGCCUGGAACCUCAGUGAGUGGCCAACGACUGGUACAGAAGGUACUUCCUGAAUGGUGUUGGAUGAAUAAGUGGAUGGAUAGAUGGUUGGAUGGAUGGGUGGAUGGAGAAAAAGUCCUGAGAAUGGGGGAAAGUAUAGAAAUGGAGAGGGAAGGGGAUGUUGAAAUUUGAUCAGGUGCCCAAAGCGUUCUUUAGCGAGGAAGCAGGGAACCCCUAUGUGAGUGAAUAGCAUGUAGACACUCCUGGAAAAAUUCAGGCACGUGGACACCAAGGGUUAUUCUUUGAAUUAGAGCUAAAUAGUCUGCGAUCUGCUCUCAGAUUCGAGUAACACCAUGUGAAUGCAGUGCUUUUCGCCGAAGAGCAAAGCUGUUGGUAACAACUUCAACAUCUGA